AGCCCCAGCCCCAGGAGUCACAGGUGUUCCCAUUCUGUGAUCAGCACAGAACACACACACCUCACCAUGGAGUUUCUGCUGGGCUGGGUGUUCCUGGUUGCUCUUUUAAAAGGUGUCCAGUGUGACGUGCAGCUGGAGGAGUCUGGGGGAGACCUGGUGAAGCCUGGGGGGUCCCUGAGACUCACCUGUGUAGCCUCUGGAUUCACCUUCAGUAGCUAUGCAAUGCACUGGGUCCGCCAGGCUCCAGGGAAGGGGCUGCAGUGGGUCGCAGCAAUUAGUAGUGGAGGUAGCACAUACUACCCAGACUCCGUGAAGGGCCGAUUCACCAUCUCCAGAGACAACGCCAAGAACACGCUUUAUCUGCAGAUGAACAGCCUCAAGACCGAGGACACGGCCACAUAUUACUGUGCGAGAGACACAGUGAGGGGACAUCACUGGGAACCCAGACACAAACCUCCCUGCAGGAGGGGAUCAGCACCACCAGGGGGCGCACACUAUGCACAAUUCUCCUUUGUGUUCCCAGGCACAGCAGUGCCAGGUGGACUGGAAUUCAAACCACAGCUGCCCUUCCCAACUCCACUGUGCCCACACAUCAUGGGCAGCUUGUCCAGACAACUGCACAAGAACCCAGGUUGGGCCUCAACAGGGACCCACAUCUGCAGAACUGGAAAGUGUGGACAGUUGACGCUUCCUGAGAAGCUCUGGGGUUCCUUCCCCGAAUAG